GACGAACGCUGGCGGCGUGCUUAACACAUGCAAGUCGAACGGCAAGGCCCUGCUUUUGUGGGGUGCUCGAGUGGCGAACGGGUGAGUAACACGUGAGUAACCUGACCUUGACUUUGGGAUAACUUCAGGAAACUGGGGCUAAUACCGGAUAGGAGCUCCUGCUGCAUGGUGGGGGUUGGAAAGUUUCGGCGGGUGGGGAUGGACUCGCGGCUUAUCAGCUUGUUGGUGGGGUAGUGGCUUACCAAGGCUUUGACGGGUAGCCGGCCUGAGAGGGUGACCGGCCACAAUGGGACUGAGAUACGGCCCAGACUCCUACGGGAGGCAGCAGUGGGGAAUAUUGCACAAUGGGCGGAAGCCUGAUGCAGAAACGCCGCGUUCGGGAUGACGGCCUUCGGGGUGUAAACCGCUUUCGCCUGUGACGAAGCGUGAGUGACGGUAAUGGGUAAAGAAGCACCGGCUAACUACGUG
rnacentral:rRNA from 1 species